UUCUCUUAAAAUUUUCUGAGUAAAUUAGGAAGAAAACAGAGAAACUUAAAUUAAACUUACUUAUAGAGAAAAGCCCACAAGAGAAACAUCAUAUCUAGAACAAUGGUUUUUCCAAGAGUUGGAAGAUAAAGAUAACAAAAUCACUUAUUUAUCUUUACUUAUCUGACUUUUAAUUUUCCUAUGUAUUGUCUGUUCUCUUUGGUAGAUUUUGCAUGUAAGAAUUGGUGUAAAAUCUCAAAACAAUACAUGAUACACUAUGUCUUUGAAUUUAGAAAGAAACAAAAACUAUCACUUUUUUAUUAGGGAAACGAUUAAAAUUUUGUAAUUGAACUCUAAUUGAACUUAAUUGAACUUGAUUGUUUAAUUGCUUGUUUAGUUUUAUCAAUCGUUAUAUCUUGUGGUUUUAUCAAGUUAUAUCAUUAAAUGACCUAGUUCAGGCAUUUUUUUAAAUUGAAAGAUAUUCAUCAUAAGAGGUCUAUUUAGAUCUUUCUAUUUCAUCUUGUUGGGAAUUUGUUAGUAUUUUUUAAGUUGGAAGACGUUUGUACAGAGGUUAAAGGAGGGUGAUGAGGAUGAAAGGAGACAGACCCCACAGUACCAAAUACUCCCAAAUCCCCAGAACUUUUGUUCUUGCUCACUCCUUUCUUUGCUCUAGAAGAUUACUUUCUCCCGCUGUCCCCCCAGUGCUGACUGAUUAAAGCCAACUUAACAGAGGCAGUUCAUAGAGUGCUAGUUCCCCUGACUCUUGAAUAACCCGAAAACCCUGUGUACCACAGAUAAAUACAGUAAUAAAUCUUCUCAGCUCCAGUGAUUUUAGUCUCAAUUUAAUCAAAUUGAGUCAUGUAUGAAUUUGUUCAAAUAGCGAACUCUCUGUAGA
rnacentral:lncRNA from 1 species